AGAGAGAGAGUGAGAGAGAGAGUUGGACAGGGGGAGAGAGAGGGAGAGAAAUGAACAAGGGGCCUGGGGUGAGGAUCAGAGAGAGUCAGGCCUAGAGAGAGGGAACAUUAAAUGUGAAAGAUGGAUCAACAGAGAGUGGAGGGAGAAAGACAGAGAGAGGGAAAGUAGGGAGACAGAGGAGGGGGAAGGAAAGGGUCAUCGAGAGAGGAAUGAGUUAGAGAGGAGCAUGGAAGCGAACACGGAAUGGCGGAAUGUCUGGUAAAAAGAUCGGGGCCGUCGGUAAUGUCUCAUCACUUGCUUACAAGGCAAGGGGGGAGGUGGAUAAUCCAGCCCCCGCCCCUCGCCCUUCCUUGGCGAGUCCGGGCCGGGACAGCGGCUCCUCGGUCUCCCAGUCAAACCCCGAGGUUAACAGAGAGAAUGGUGACUUGCCUUCGCACUGUGAAAAUACAAGAGAGCAGCGAGCAGACAGUUGAGAAAACUAAGGAGAGAGUUCAUGGUUGCUGUUAAAUUAAAUCCCACAAGAAUCGAGAUUCCUUGAUUUUU